CUUCUAAUCCCUCUAACUGAGGCGUCACAUGGAAGAAAUUUUGAAGCUGUUGCCUGGACCACACUCGGAAUCAAAGAGAGUUGGAUUCUUAAGCAGUCCAUCUUCUGACACAUUGCACAGGGCUUCAGAAGCUGCAGACAGAUUAGCUGAUGGACGGCGCUCCCUUGUACUUGUUGUAUUCAUUGGAGGGGUUACAUUUGCAGAA
rnacentral:misc_RNA from 1 species